rnacentral:snRNA from 7 species
GGAUGUGAGGGCGAUCUGGCUGCGACAUCUGUCACCCCAUUGAUCGCCAGGGUUGAUUCGGCUGAUCUGGCUGGCUAGGCGGGUGUCCCCUUCCUCCCUCACCGCUCCAUGUGCGUCCCUCCCGAAGCUGCGCGCUCGGUCGAAGAGGACGACCUUCCCCGAUAGAGACGGUACCGUUCAUCGGUCAAGGGUAUACGGUAGCUGCGCUCCCCUGCUAGAACCUCCAAACAAGCUCAAGGUCCAUUUGUAGGAGAACGUAGGGUAGUCAAGCUUCCAAGACUGCAGACACAUCCAAGUGAGGCACUGCAUGUGGCAGUCUGCCUUUCUUU